GAUGAAGAACGCAGCGAAAUGCGAUACUUGGUGUGAAUUGCAGAAUCCCGUGAACCAUCGAGUCUUUGAACGCAAGUUGCGCCCGAAGCCAUUAGGCCGAGGGCACGCCUGCCUGGGCGUCACACGUCGUUGCCCCCCCAUCUACUCCUUCGGGAUUGCGGGGGGCGGAUGAUGGCCUCCCGUGCGCCUCGCCGCGCGGUUGGCAUAAAUGCCAAGUCCUCGGCGACACACGCCACGACAAUCGGUGGUUGCGAAACCUCGGUUGCCCGUCGUGUGCGGUCGUCGCGCAUCGAGGGCUCGAAAAAAUUGCCGGGUUCCGGCUCGGCUUUCAACGCGACCCCAGGUCAGGCGGGGUUACCCGCUGAAUUUAAGCAUAUCAAUAAGCGGAGGA
rnacentral:misc_RNA from 1 species